UACAGAGGUCCCCGAGCGUUGUUCGGAUUCACUGGGCGUAAAGGGUGCGUAGGUGGCAAGGCAAGUCUGAUGUGAAAUCUCGGAGCUUAACUUCGAAAUGGCAUUGGAUACUGCCUGGCUUGAGGUUCGGAGGGGAGACUGGAAUUCUCGGUGUAGCAGUGAAAUGCGUAGAUAUCGAGAGGAACACCGGUGGCGAAGGCGAGUCUCUGGACGAAAUCUGACACUGAGGCACGAAAGCUA
rnacentral:rRNA from 1 species